rnacentral:tRNA from 1 species
GGGCCAUUAGCUCAGUUGGCUAGAGCACCUGCAUGACUCGCAGGGGGUCGGGGGUUCAAGUCCCUCAUGGCCCACCA